CCAGUGAAGAGACAAGUAGUGCCCAGCUGGCUGGCUGUAACAUCCAAUAACCAUCACAUCAUCAUAACAUUCUUAACCUGUAGGAAUGGCUUUUAUCUGUACAGAAAAUAAGCUGGCAUAAAGACGAAAGUUUAAUCAACUUAUUCAAAAGGGUGGCCAGCUGAGUUGGACUCUUGAUGCUCCACAAAUGGCUGUUGGUACAAAAAUUAAAUUUCCUACGAAUGAUUACAUGCAAGUGGUGAGGAAUGUGUCAUUUGAUUAACACUUUUCUCUGAUACAAAAGUGUAAUAAGUAGUGUUGUGGUCACCAUACUGAAUAUGCUUACUAUGGGUCGCCACAAUCUUGAUCAUAUCACAGGUCAAAGAAGGCAGGUGGAACUAAAAGUUUCGUUAAUCCCACUCACCUUUAUAACGAUCUAUAUGGACUAUUUCUUUAGCAGGCCACGACACCACUGCUGUCUUUCAUUUCAUUGUGACUCUCAAGGGCGGCAGCAUGCUUAACCAACUUCCUGCAUAGAUGAUGGGCAUUCUGCCUAAUUGGAUGUUGACAUUCCAUGAAAAUGGUGUAAUUUCUAAUCUUUUUAAAGAUUUGAUGUAUUUUCUCAAGGCUUCUAACAGUAUUUCAACGUAAA